GACGAACGCUGGCGGCGCGCCUAACACUUGCAAGUCGAGCGACGAAAGGACCUUCGGGUCCCUGAAAGCGGCGAACGGGUGAGUAGCACGUGGGUAACCUACCCUCGGUUCUGGGAUGGCCCGGGGAAACUCGGAUUAAUACCGGAUGGCCUCUCCGGUCUACGGACUGGCGAGAAAAGGGAGCUUCGGCCUCCGACCGAGGACGGGCCCGCGUCCGAUUAGCUUGUUGGCGGGGUAACGGCCCACCAAGGCUACGAUCGGUAGCUGGUCUGAGAGGACGAUCAGCCACACUGGAACUGAGACACGGUCCAGACUCCUACGGGAGGCAGCAGUGGGGAAUAUUGGACAAUGGGCGCAAGCCUGAUCCAGCCAUGCCGCGUGUGUGAAGAAGGCCUUCGGGUUGUAAAGCACUUUCAGUAGGGAGGAAGCGUUGUGUGUUAAUAGUACACAGCGUUGACGUUACCUACAGAAGAAGCACCGGCUAACUCUGUGCCAGCAGCCGCAGUAAGAC
rnacentral:rRNA from 1 species